rnacentral:rRNA from 1 species
GAUGAAUGCUGGCGGCGUGCCUAAUACAUGCAAGUCGAGCGGAAAGGCCCUUCGGGGUACUCGAGCGGCGGACGGCUGAGUAACGCGUGGGAACAUACCCCAAAGUGAGGGAUAAACGCCCGAAAGGGUGGGUAAUACCGCAUAUGGUCUUCGGAUUAAAGGAUUUAUCCGCUGUGGGAAUGGCCUGCGUAUGAUUAGAUAGUUGGUGAGGUAAUGGCUCACCAAGUCUACGAUCAUUAACUGGUCUGAGAGGAUGAUCAGUCAGACUGGAACUGAGACACGGUCCAGACUCCUACGGGAGGCAGCAGUAAAGAAUCUUCCACAAUGGGCGAAAGCCUGAUGGAGCAACGCCGCGUGCAGGAUGAAGGCCUUCGGGUUGUAAACUGCUUUUAUAAGUGAAGAAUAUGACGGUAACUUAUGAAUAAGCACCGGCUAACUACGUGCCAGCAGCCGCCGUA